rnacentral:rRNA from 1 species
GCAAGUCGAACGCGAAAGCCCCUUCGGGGGUAAGUAGAGUGGCGUCCGGGUGAGUAACACGUGGGUAAUCUGCCUUCGGGUGGGGAAUAACCCAGGGAAACUUGGGCUAAUACCGCAUAAUGCAGCGGCACCUAAUGGUGAUUAGUUGUUAAAGCGGGGGAUCGCAAGACCUCGCGCCUGAAGAGGAGCCUGCGGCAGAUUAGCUAGUUGGUAAGGUAAUGGCUUACCAAGGCUUCGAUCUGUAGCUGGUCUGAGAGGACGGCCAGCCACACUGGCACUGACACACGGGCCAGACUCCUACGGGAGGCAGCAGUGGGGAAUUUUGGGCAAUGGGCGCAAGCCUGACCCAGCAACGCCGCGUGAGGGAGGAAAUCCUUCGGGAUGUAAACCUCACAAGCAAGGGAAGAGAGUCAUGGGCUGAAUAAUCCCAUGGUGCGACGGUACCUUGCGUAAGCCACGGCUAACUACGUGCCAGCAGCCGCGGUAAUACGUAGGUGGCAAGCGUUGUUCGGAAUUAUUGGGCGUAAAGGGCGCGUAGGCGGCGUGUUAAGUCGGCUGUGAAAGCCCGGGGCUCAACCCCGGAGGGUCAGCCGAUACUGGCAUGCUAGAGUACGGAAGAGGUAGCUGGAAUUCCCGGUGUAGCGGUGAAAUGCGUAGAUUUCGGGAGGAACACCUGAGGCGAAGGCGGGCUACUGGGCCGAUACUGACGCUGAUGUGCGAAAGCCAGGGGAGCGAACGGGAUUAGAUACCCCGGUAGUCCUGGCCCUAAACGAUGGACACUUGGUGUGUCGGGUAUUCCAGUCCCGAUUUGCCGGAGCUAACGCGUUAAGU